GGAUGGAUCAUUAAACUUAUCCAAGUAUCAACCAAACAACGCGCACUUAUUUGAUUCUGUUCGAAAAUUUAUUUCUCAUGCGAUACCAGUAGUACGGGAAGAUCACGAGGUCGACAGGGGCAGAGUUCUUUUGCCCUGAAUCCCAUGGUGAAUUAGUACCCGAAGCUUAAGCAAGAUAAAAUUUUUACAUAGCAGAACCUUUUUAACACUUUGUACCAUUCUACCUUUUUUUAUUUUCUUUGUUGCGGCCGAAAGGCGGACUUUCUUUUUAAGAAAUUUUUGUACAACUCUUAACAACGGAUAUCUAGGCUCUCGGAUCGAUGAAGAACGCAGCGAAAUGCGAUACGUAAUGCGAAUUGCAGGAUUCAGUGAAUCAUCAAAUCUUUGAACGCAACUUGCAGUUAUUGGUAACCCGAUAACUAUACUUCUCUGAGUAUCGUCUUCAAACCAACUCGCCUGCGUGCUUUGAUUUUUUUUCCAAUUGCCAACGCGAGAGGAAAAAAGAACGAAGUUACAAUGGCGGAAAAUGAGUGUCUGGCUUAAACCGCUAGUCGCUUGAAAUGCAGUGUUUUGUCUCAUUGUGGAAAUGGGAUUACUAGUUUGUUUACGGUUGUUAGCACUUCUUUCGGGGAGAGUUAAUGUGAAGAUCGUAAGCGGCGGAUUUAGAAGCCAAGUAGCAUACCCUGCUCUUGGUCGUAAACCUUGAAGCGAGUCUUCUGGUCUCGAUUUAAGUCUUAACGAAGAGUGUACGAAACUGAUUUUUGAGCGCUAAAUCCAACUAGUUGAAGUGUGAUAACGGAGACACCUUUCGGGGAGUUUCUUGACCCAACUUCGGCUAGGGAUGCAAAGAUUUCAGCUAGUACGUUAUACACGCUCUUUGUGAGGCAAGGGACUAAGGGGAGGAACUUCUGUAGGACAACGACCGAGGUGAAUUGAGGAAUAGCGUCACCAUGCGUUUCUUCUCAGUUUAUUUGUAACAAGGCGGGGGUUUAGAGCUGAAGGUGCUUCGUUUUAACAAUCUUUUAGUAAUCUUACUUAUAAAAUUUCGUGACAAUAAAUGACAACGUUUGUCUUGUGUUGUAAAGUUGAGUGGGAGAAAUUCCGCCUGACCUUGCCCCAAGAAAUAUACCCUUGAAAUUUGAUCUCAGAUGAAGUAAGACUACCCGCCGAAUUUAAGCAUAUUAUUAAGCGGAGGAAAAGAAACUAACAAGGAUUCCCCUAGUAACGGCGAGUGAAGCGGGAAGAGCUCAAAGUUAAAAUCGGUGUACCUAGCGGUGCUCCGAAAUGUAAUCUGGAGACCUUGUCCCAGUCUAGACCCGGGUUUAAAUCCUUUGAAACAGGGUGUCAUAGAGGGUGAGAAUCCCGUCUUUGACUCGGAGUUCUAGGCGUACGGGCGGGGAUCAAAGAGUCAGAUAGCUUGGGAAUGCUGUCCUAAAUGGGAGGUAAAUUUCUUCUAAAGCUAAAUACAGCCGAGAGACGAUAGCGAACAAGUACCGUGAGGGAAAGAUGAAAAGAACUUUGAAAAGAGAGUUAAAAAGUACUUGAAAUUGUUAAGAGGUAAGCUUUGAAAACCAGUGCUGCUGGGCCCCACUUAGCUGUCGCUGAAAGGCACGUCCCGUCCAACGACCUAGAAAGCGUUUGUUCAGGCUGCUCUAAGGCAAGGCGACGUGGGCUUGGUGAGUCAAGGUCAGGUAGAGGUGUGGGAGAAAGCUUGCGAAAGAAGGGCUGCUAGGCGCGAGUCUAGUGGCAGUUUAGACGCCUGCUCUACUAUGUCACUGCCUGAGGUAAAACUCGACAACGUGCCACGCGGUUAUUGGGCCCCGGGGAUCGGCCGUCGACUCACGAUUGUGUCGUGUUAGAUUGCCGGUUUUUGAUGGUUUGAUAAUUGACAGUACGUUCGCGAUCUUGACGAAAUGGUUUUCAAAGACCCGUCUUGAAACACGGACCAAGGAGUCUAACCUAUAUGCGAGUAUUUGGGUGUAAAAACCCUGAUGCGAAAUGAAAGUGAAGGUAGCGAAAGCUGCUGAGGUAGGAAUCCCGCAAGGGAGGCACUAUCGACCGAUCGAUCCUUUUGGAAAGAUUUGAGUAAGAGCAUAUCUGUUGGGACCCGAAAGAUGGUGAACUAUGCCUGAUCAGGGUGAAGCCAGGGGAAACUCUGGUGGAGGCUCGUAGCGAUACUGACGUGCAAAUCGUUCGUCUGAAUUGGGUAUAGGGGCGAAAGACUAAUCGAACCAUCUAGUAGCUGGUUCCCGC
rnacentral:misc_RNA from 1 species